CGGGUUAGGCUACCGCUACCAUGCAGUCGAGCGGUAGCACAGAGAGCUUGCUCUCGGGUGACGAGCGGCGGACGGGUGAGUAAUGUCUGGGAAACUGCCUGAUGGAGGGGGAUAACUACUGGAAACGGUAGCUAAUACCGCAUAAUGUCGCAAGACCAAAGUGGGGGACCUUCGGGCCUCAUGCCAUCAGAUGUGCCCAGAUGGGAUUAGCUAGUAGGUGGGGUAACGGCUCACCUAGGCGACGAUCCCUAGCUGGUCUGAGAGGAUGACCAGCCACACUGGAACUGAGACACGGUCCAGACUCCUACGGGAGGCAGCAGUGGGGAAUAUUGCACAAUGGGCGCAAGCCUGAUGCAGCCAUGCCGCGUGUGUGAAGAAGGCCUUCGGGUUGUAAAGCACUUUCAGCGGGGAGGAAGGCGGUGAGGUUAAUAACCUUGUCGAUUGACGUUACCCGCAGAAGAAGCACCGGCUAACUCCGUGCCAGCAGCCGCGGUAAUACGGAGGGUGCAAGCGUUAAUCGGAAUUACUGGGCGUAAAGCGCACGCAGGCGGUCUGUCAAGUCGGAUGUGAAAUCCCCGGGCUCAACCUGGGAACUGCAUUCGAAACUGGCAGGCUAGAGUCUUGUAGAGGGGGGUAGAAUUCCAGGUGUAGCGGUGAAAUGCGUAGAGAUCUGGAGGAAUACCGGUGGCGAAGGCGGCCCCCUGGACAAAGACUGACGCUCAGGUGCGAAAGCGUGGGGAGCAAACAGGAUUAGAUACCCUGGUAGUCCACGCCGUAAACGAUGUCGAUUUGGAGGUUGUGCCCUUGAGGCGUGGCUUCCGGAGCUAACGCGUUAAAUCGACCGCCUGGGGAGUACGGCCGCAAGGUUAAAACUCAAAUGAAUUGACGGGGGCCCGCACAAGCGGUGGAGCAUGUGGUUUAAUUCGAUGCAACGCGAAGAACCUUACCUGGUCUUGACAUCCACAGAACUUUCCAGAGAUGGAUUGGUGCCUUCGGGAACUGUGAGACAGGUGCUGCAUGGCUGUCGUCAGCUCGUGUUGUGAAAUGUUGGGUUAAGUCCCGCAACGAGCGCAACCCUUAUCCUUUGUUGCCAGCGGUUCGGCCGGGAACUCAAAGGAGACUGCCAGUGAUAAACUGGAGGAAGGUGGGGAUGACGUCAAGUCAUCAUGGCCCUUACGACCAGGGCUACACACGUGCUACAAUGGCAUAUACAAAGAGAAGCGACCUCGCGAGAGCAAGCGGACCUCAUAAAGUAUGUCGUAGUCCGGAUUGGAGUCUGCAACUCGACUCCAUGAAGUCGGAAUCGCUAGUAAUCGUAGAUCAGAAUGCUACGGUGAAUACGUUCCCGGGCCUUGUACACACCGCCCGUCACACCAUGGGAGUGGGUUGCAAAAGAAGUAGGUAGCUUAACCUUCGGGAGGGCGCUUACCACUUGGAUUCAUCGGG
rnacentral:rRNA from 1 species